AUUCUUAUCUUUACUAUCUAGGUAAUUAAUAUGUUUUAGGAAUUGUCAGUUUAACAGAGUGUUGUCUUCUUGAAUCAUAUUGUGGGUGGUGUUUCCUUGAAAGUAGGAUUGAAUUUGAAUUAAAUUUGUUUAAACUCUAGUUUAAACUCGGUUUGAACGAGUCUGAAAUGAGUUAUAUGUAAACAAGCUCAAGCUUUAUGUACUUGAAAAAUUGAGCUCGAGCUUUGAGCUGAGCAACUCCGCUUGGUUUGCGAGCCAAGGCAGCUCGCCCAUUCUCCUUUCUCCAGCUGGGGUUAUCUGUGCUUGGUGAGCUUCAAGGAUCUGGGGAUGGUUACUAUGUGGCGGUAGGAGGGAUCACUCCAACUCGUCUUGGAGUGGGAGAGUACUGCAGCCGUUGGGCUACGUCAAACAUUGGGCACUUAUCUGGAUAAAAAGGUUGCCACCUGCAUUUGUCAACCAUCACGAGGACUGACCUUUGGAAUCAAAGGGGGUGCAGCCGGUGGUGGUUUCAGUCAAGUGAUCCCAAUGGAUGAGUUCAAUCUUUAUUUAAUAGGAGACAUUCAUGCUAUGACACCUGCAAACAAUCUUCUUGCAUCUUCCAUGAGUCAGCACAAUCAGAUAAGGCCCUCUUGAACUGAUUGUGCCACCAAGCAAAGAAGGGAAACGAAGCUUUAGCAAUAUAAUUUUUAGACGACUGAAGAAGCCUAAUAUCUUCAAGACCGAGCCUGAGGAUCAUACACCGCAACAAGUUUAAAAUUUUCUAGGCUUGAUAUUGACCUAGAUUGCAUCGCACGGAGGAGAGUUAUUGGUGUGAAUGGCAGGUUAUUAAGAAAGACUGGUGUUAGCCAGGGGCCAGAAGAAAAGGGGAUGACAAAGGAAACAGAAUUUGAUAUUUCAGUUGCUAGUGAGAUAAUGGCAGUUUUGUCCCUCACAACAGCUCUAGCUGAUAUGAGAGAGAUGCGUGGAAAAUGGUGAACAGGCUCGUGAUCAGGUUCGUUUGAGCUUGUUAAGCUUGGCUCGUUAUUAGGGUCGUUGAGUCUAUUUGAGUCGAGUUCUAAUAUUAAAUUUUUUUGUUUAUCGAGCCUAAACUUAGGUUUGGGCUUGUUUUAACAGUAACCGAGUCAAAUUCAAACUCAA